ensembl:lncRNA
CCUCACUGUAAGAAAGACAUCGAGGCCCUGGAGCAUGUCCAGAGGAGGGCAACAAAGCUGGUGAAGGGUCUGGAGCACAGGCCUUAUGAAGAGUGGCUGAAGGAGAUGGGGUUGUUCAGUCUAGAGAAGAGGACGCUCAGGGAGGACCUUAUUGCUCUCUAUAACUACCUGAAGGGAGGUUGUAGUGAGCUGGGGGUCAGCCUCUUCUCUUGUGUGACUAGUGAUAGGACGAGAGGGAAUGGCUUCAAGCUGCGCCAGGGAAGAUUCAGGCUGGACGUUAGGAAAUACUACUUCUCUGAAAGGGUGGUCAGGCACUGGAAUGGGCUGCCCAGAGAGGUGGUGAAGUCACCGACCCUGAAGGUGUUCAAAGAGUGUUUGGAUGUUGUAUUGAGGGACAUGGCUUAGCGAGAACCAUUGAUGAAGGGCGAACGAAUGGUUGGACUGGAUGAUCCUGUGAGUCUUUUCCAACCUUAGCGAUUCUAUGAUUCUGUAAGAAUCUUAAUUGCAGCUUGCAUAUAGAUCACAUCUGUCGUGGUGACUUUUGCCAAUAAAUAUGAG